UACGUAGGUGGCAAGCGUUGUCCGGAAUUAUUGGGCGUAAAGCGCGCGCAGGCGGUCCUUUAAGUCUGAUGUGAAAGCCCACGGCUCAACCGUGGAGGGUCAUUGGAAACUGGGGGACUUGAGUACAGAAGAGAAGAGUGGAAUUCCACGUGUAGCGGUGAAAUGCGUAGAGAUGUGGAGGAACACCAGUGGCGAAGGCGACUCUUUGGUCUGUAACUGACGCUGGGGCGCGAAAGCGUGGGGAGCAAACAGGG
rnacentral:rRNA from 1 species